rnacentral:tRNA from 1 species
GGAGGGUAUAGCUCAGUGGUAGAGUAUAUGCUUAGCAUGCAUGAGGUCCUGGGUUCAAUUCCCAGUACCUCCA